UAGGUGUGAUGAUGCUUAUCCAUCAUUUCUGCUAUUGGAUGAUGAACUUUAUACAUGCACUACCAUCUGAUCUCUG